ACUCCUACGGGAGGCCGCAGUGGGGAAUAUUGGACAAAGGGCGCAAGCCUGAUCCAGCCAUGCCGCGUGAGUGAUGAAGGCCCUAGGGUUGUAAAGCUCUUUCACCGGUGAAGAUAAUGACGGUAACCGGAGAAGAAGCCCCGGCUAACUUCGUGCCAGCAGCCGCGGUAAUACGAAGGGGGCUAGCGUUGUUCGGAUUUACUGGGCGUAAAGCGCACGUAGGCGGACUAUUAAGUCAGGGGUGAAAUCCCGGGGCUCAACCCCGGAACUGCCUUUGAUACUGGUAGUCUUGAGUUCGAGAGAGGUGAGUGGAAUUCCGAGUGUAGAGGUGAAAUUCGUAGAUAUUCGGAGGAACACCAGUGGCGAAGGCGGCUCACUGGCUCGAUACUGACGCUGAGGUGCAAAAGCGUGGGGAGCAAACAGGAUUAGAUACCCCUGUAGUCCCAU
rnacentral:rRNA from 1 species